CUGAGUCAUUGGAGAGGCGAGGAGUCGUUUCCAGGCUCUGGGAUGUGGGCCUGGAGCAAGGCUGACUGACAGCACGGCCUGACAGCCAGUCCCUGGCUCCUGGACCCAGGGCAUGUGCUCGUUGCCCCUGCCUGCAAGCAGGGCAGGUAGGGGAGGAAGAAAAAGUCCCGGGCCCCUGCCCUGCUGGGUGAGAGGGUGGUGUGGAAUUCAGAAAGUGCUGCUGAGGGCCCUGGGGCAGGGACGUGGUGAGGAGCUCCACGGGGGCAGGGGUGGCUGGUGAGGGCUUCACCACUUUAACAGUGAUUCUGUUCCCUCUUGUCUCCACCUGCCCAACCUUGCUUCUUCCUGGGCAUAAUGGGCAGAAUCGAACAUGCUGUGUUUGAGGUCUUGUUCCAGUUGCGUGUGACUCUAGUUGAGUCAGGAGCAGACUGUAAGCAGCAGACAGGCCAGGUUCUGCGAUCCUUCCCAGCACACCGGGAACAAGCAGCAAUUGGAUAUUUGAUAGGCCAAGUGCACAGCAGAAAACCCUGGGCUAAGUGUUCAGCAUAUCACUCUGUGACCUUGGGCAAGCUGGUUGCCCUCUCUGAUCAAAACGAAGGGGCUGGAGUCAUUGGCUCCUAAGUCUCCUUGCUUUGGUAAGUUCUGGGAGUGUCCUGCUCACUCUGCCCUCUGCCCCUCCUCCCACCCUCCUUCCUGGGGCGAGGCCUGCUGCUUUCUCCUUUCCUCAAGGCUCAGGCUCAGGGCCCUCCCAGGGCAGCGGUUCAGCUGGCCGGUGGUGCAGGCCCAGCAGGGGCCCUGCUGGGACGCCUUCUGGAGUGGGGCCCACCGAUGCCAGCUCCCCGGCCGGAUUUGGACCGAUGCCCGGCCCGGUUUUGAGCUUGUCAUUUAAGUGCUACGGGAGGCCGUCUGUCUGCAUAACCUCCCCGGCUGAGGACACUGCCCCCUCCAGGGCCCCAGACAGCCACCAUCUGGCCGGGGUGGUCAGUGGAGGCUCAUAAUAUUGCGAUUUUUCUCAUUUUUGGAGAACUGAAGUGCCAACCCUCCCUGGGGGCACGGGACGCACUGCCCCCUCUGGGCCUUUGCCCGUCUUUCCACCGGCCUGCAGUCAUCUCGUCAACCACAGGGGGCUACCCGAGCUGGGCAGUGUCAACAGGACAAGUUAAGAAAAGGAAGAAAGCGGACAUUUCCUGCCUGGUGAUCACAGCGUUUGCGCUGUGACUGAGCGCUGGCCGCGUGGCUCUGCACGUGCUCGGUCUCCCAGUGACCCUGAGCCUCAGUCUCCUCCUGUGUUCUUCAGGGAGCAUGUGACCCCUCCCAAGGCGGCGGCGGUGGGGAUGGAAGGAGUGUCCACUGAGGGUCAUUGCAGUGCCAGCCAUGGUCUUGAACACAAUGAGACUGUUGCCCCUUCCUUUCCAUCUGUGGAUGCUGCAUCCUAUGGCCCUGGUCCUCUUUUUGGGCCUUGAACCCAGUUCCUAGGCCUCCCUGGGGCCCAGAGCACAGAGUGGACCAUCACAGGCCAGAGGCCAAUGUGCUUGAUGGGAAGUUGGGGACCAGAUGAAGGGCUGCCACAUCCAGCUCCAGUGUGACUUCCCAUCUGACAGAUGUGUAUGGGAGGGCCUGC
ensembl:lncRNA